AUCCAUUCAGAGUCUUCAAUCUAAAUAAUUACACUAUUGCAGGUAACUUGCUGUGGUUCGCACAUGUAGGAUACAAAGGUGUUUCAGCUUCAGCUAGCUUCGCCAAAAAUUCAUCUUCUUUCUUGUCCUCUCCCUCCGCUAUCUCAAAGACAUCCCCCGUACCAGCUUAAGCUUCAUCAGAACACUCUGCGGCUCUGUAUAACCCAAUGAUCUCAUCAUUCCAUUGACCUGCCCUGCUUUCAUCUGCAACCACUGAGCUCAACUCUCCAUGCAGAUACCAAUCAUUGCGCUUCUUAUAAGCCUCCUCCAUUCCCCUAGUAACAAGAUGAGCAACUACCACACUUCCGCAAUGACGAUCUAUGUUACGACAGUCAAUGCAAGGACAUACAAUCAUAUCAAUUCCUCCCGAAGCUGCAGCCACUUACCUACAAACUUAGUAGCUCCUCUAUCAUAAGCAGGAUUGACUCUUCAGUGACAUGAAACAAAAACAAAAAUUCACAAGCUCAGUGACUAAACACAUACUGAAACAUAACAUAUAUGAUAAAAUUCAUUACCUGCUC
rnacentral:lncRNA from 1 species